rnacentral:rRNA from 1 species
UAGUUUCAAUACAUAAUUAUUCAAACUGCAAUCUUUAUCAAAUUUGAUAGUUAAAAAAUUAUGCAGUUAAAAUACUAAAAAGGCAGCUUUUUGGAAAAAUAACUGGAUGCUAGAA